UACAGAGGGUGCGAGCGUUAAUCGGAUUUACUGGGCGUAAAGCGCGUGUAGGCGGCUUUGCAAGUCGGAUGUGAAAUCCCACGGCUCAACCGUGGAAGUGCAUCCGAAACUGCAUCGCUCGAGUCUCGGAGAGGAAGGUGGAAUGCUUGGUGUAGAGGUGAAAUUCGUAGAUAUCAAGCAGAACACCUGCGGCGAAGGCGGCCUUCUGGACGAUGACUGACGCUGAGACGCGAAAGCGUGGGGAGCAAACAGG
rnacentral:rRNA from 1 species